rnacentral:rRNA from 1 species
GCGUAAGCGACGGACGGGUGAGUACUGUAUGGGAACUGCCAGAUCGAGGGGGAUACCUACUGGAACCCGUAACUAAUACCGCAUACUAUCGAAUAACCCAUAGGGGAUUAGCUAGUAGGUGAGGGAAUGUCUCACCUAGGAGACGAUCCCUAGCUGGUCUGCAAGGAUGAUCAGCCACACUGGGACUGAGAAACGGCCCAGAUGCCGACGGAGGCAGUAGUGGGGAAUAUUUCACAAUGGGUGCAAGACUGAUGCAGCCAUGCCGCGUGGAUGAAGAAGGCCAUAGGGUUGUAAAGUACUUUCAGUCGGGAGGAGUGACCGACAGAAGAAGCAACGGCUAACUCCGUGCCAGCAGCCGCGGUAAUUU